rnacentral:rRNA from 1 species
UUGACAAGUCUCCGUUGGUGAACCAGCGGAGGGAUCAUUA